rnacentral:rRNA from 1 species
AUUUUGGGCGUAAGGGCUCGCAGGCGGUUUCUUAAGUCUGAUGUGAAAGCCCCCGGCUCAACCGGGGAGGGUCAUUGGAAACUGGGGAACUUGAGUGCAGAAGAGGAGAGUGGAAUUCCACGUGUAGCGGUGAAAUGCGUAGAGAUGUGGAGGAACACCAGUGGCGAAGGCGACUCUCUGGUCUGUAACUGACGCUGAGGAGCGAAAGCGUGGGGAGCGAACAGGAUUAGAUACCCUGGUAGUCCACGCCGUAAACGAUGAGUGCUAAGUGUUAGGGGGUUUCCGCCCCUUAGUGCUGCAGCUAACGCAUUAAGCACUCCGCCUGGGGAGUACGGUCGCAAGACUGAAACUCAAAGGAAUUGACGGGGGCCCGCACAAGCGGUGGAGCAUGUGGUUUAAUUCGAAGCAACGCGAAGAACCUUACCAGGUCUUGACAUCCUCUGACAAUCCUAGAGAUAGGACGUCCCCUUCGGGGGCAGAGUGACAGGUGGUGCAUGGUUGUCGUCAGCUCGUGUCGUGAGAUGUUGGGUUAAGUCCCGCAACGAGCGCAACCCUUGAUCUUAGUUGCCAGCAUUCAGUUGGGCACUCUAAGGUGACUGCCGGUGACAAACCGGAGGAAGGUGGGGAUGACGUCAAAUCAUCAUGCCCCUUAUGACCUGGGCUACACACGUGCUACAAUGGACAGAACAAAGGGCAGCGAAACCGCGAGGUUAAGCCAAUCCCACAAAUCUGUUCUCAGUUCGGAUCGCAGUCUGCAACUCGACUGCGUGAAGCUGGAAUCGCUAGUAAUCGCGGAUC